AAGAGACUCAUCCCUUGAUUCACUCAUUCAGCAAAUAUGACUGAGCACCGUCUCUAAGCAGGACAUUUGCCUUGUCCUCAGGGAGCAUAGUUGGCAAGGAAUCUAGACAGCAGCCCUUCUUGAGCUUGACAUUGAUCUUCUCAUGAGGAGGACUGGGCUCCAGGUGGGGAAAGAACCCCAUCCUCACUUGUGGGCUAGACGACCUGGGAGUCCACAGACACUGAAGACACAUCAUUCUUCCUAUUCAUUUCAACCUUCCCUCGACAGAUCUUCCUGGGACCAGGUCUUCAGGACAGUGUGAGCUAGGUUUAUUGAAGUGCUCUGGGCUGAUGUCAUUACAUUUGUAACUUCCAUGCCCCCCAAAAAUGUUUUGAAGACAUUCAUUUUAUCAAAAUACAACAUACAUGCAGAAAAAUGCCCACAUUUUAACUUACGGCUUGAAGUGAAGUUACCCAUGCAACACCCACCCACAUCAAGAAGUAGAACAUUCCCAGCACCCCCAGAAGCCUUCUUGAGGCCCUCCCUGCUCUUCCUGCCCCAACCAAG
rnacentral:lncRNA from 10 species